AAUAUAUGACGAGUUGACUUUUUCUCAUAUGUUUGACCAUUCGUCUUAUUUAAAAAAUUUACGUAAUUAUAAUUUAUUUUGCUAUGAGUUGUUUUAUCACUCAUAGUACUUUAAGUGUGAUUUAUAUCUUAUACAUUUGCAUAAAAAUUUUUGAAUAAGACGAAUGCUCAAACAUGUGAGAAAAAAUCAACGGCGUCAUUUAUU
rnacentral:pre_miRNA from 1 species